GUUCACUUUGGUAGCACAUAUACUAAAAUUAGAAUGAAUCAGAGAUUAACAUGGCCCCUGCACAAGGGUCACACUCAAAUUCAUGAAGCAUUCCAUGUUGGU